GCGGCCUAUCAGCUAGUUGGCGGGGUAACGGCCCACCAAGGCGACGACGGGUAGCCGGCCUGAGAGGGCGAUCGGCCACAAGGGGACUGAGACACGGCCCCUACUCCUACGGGAGGCAGCAGUAGGGAAUUUUGCUCAAUGGGGGAAACCCUGAAGCAGCGACGCCGCGUGGGUGACGAAAUCCUUCGGGAUGUAAAACCCUUUUAACCGGGACGAAAUACAUGACGGUACCGGUGGAAUAAGCCUCGGCUAACUCCGUGCCAGCAGCCGCGGUAAGACGGGGGAGGCAAGCGUUGUCCGGAAUCACUGGGUGUAAAGGGCGUGUAGGCGGGCCGGCUAGUCGGUUGUUAAAUCUCUCCGCUCAACGGAGAAGCUGCGGCCGAUACUUCCGGUCUUGAGUGCGGCAGGGGAGGAUGGAAUUCCUGGUGUAGCGGUGAAAUGCGUAGAUAUCAGGAGGAACACCGGUGGCGAAGGCGGUCCUCUGGGCCUGCACUGACGCUGAGUGCGCGAAAGCUGGGGUAGCAAACAGAAUUAGAUACUCUGGUAGUCCCAGCCCUAAACUAUGGGUACUAGGUGUACGUCCCUUCAAGGGAUGUGUGCCGCAGCUAACGCAUUAA
rnacentral:rRNA from 1 species